rnacentral:rRNA from 1 species
CCUUGAAAUACCACCCUUUAAUGUUUGAUGUUCUAACGUUGGCCCCUGAUCGGGGUUGCGGACAGUGUCUGGUGGGUAGUUUGACUGGGGCGGUCUCCUCCUAAAGAGUAACGGAGGAGCACGAAGGUUGGCUAAUCCUGGUCGGACAUCAGGAGGUUAGUGCAAUGGCAUAAGCCAGCUUGACUGCGAGCGUGACGGCGCGAGCAGGUGCGAAAGCAGGUCAUAGUGAUCCGGUGGUUCUGAAUGGAAGGGCCAUCGCUCAACGGAUAAAAGGUACUCCGGGGAUAACAGGCUGAUACCGCCCAAGAGUUCAUAUCGACGGCGGUGUUUGGCACCUCGAUGUCGGCUCAUCACAUCCUGGGGCUGAAGUAGGUCCCAAGGGUAUGGCUGUUCGCCAUUUAAAGUGGUACGCGAGCUGGGUUUAGAACGUCGUGAGACAGUUCGGUCCCUAUCUGCCGUGGGCGCUGGAGAACUGAGGGGGGCUGCUCCUAGUACGAGAGGAC